rnacentral:rRNA from 1 species
AAAUAAUUAAAACUUUUAACAACGGAUCUCUUGGUUCUGGCAUCGAUGAAUAACGCAGCGAAAUGCGAUAAGUAAUGUGAAUUGCAGAAUUCAGUGAAUCAUCGAAUCUUUGAACGCACAUUGCGCUCGCCAGCAUUCUGGCGAGCAUGCCUGUUCGAGCGUCAUUUC